AAGAAGCCAAGUUUUCCUUUGGAAGACAGAAGCUGAUUCACUACAGUCCCUAAGGAAAAAGUUUAAUAUCUACAGGCUUAUCAGCCAGUUUUACAGCAAGUUUCAUCCCUUUGAUUCACUUACUCUCUCCCAUCAGGAGGAGUCUCGCUGAGCUGGGUGUGUUUUUCCAAUAUGAAUUUCAUGAAUCACACAUCUUAAAAGUAAGAUGGGAAGCGAGGCAGCCUCAAACCAUGGCCAGGGUCAACACGUACUGACCGAGGUAGACAUCAUGAACCUGGAUGCAAACCCUUCAGAGCAGACCUUGCUAGUAAUGUUUUUUUUCCACAGAUGAAGCCAAAAUCAAGGGAUUAGUGGGCUGCUACCUCCUAGAGGACACUUGUGAGCCUGACUAUGUGGCACUCUCCUCCCAGAGCAAAGCAUCAUCUCCACAACUUUGCUUAGCACAGCGCCAGGCACAGGAAAAUGAACCACAAGUCCCUUGUAGAAAUGAAGGAAUUACAUGCAAGUCUGCAACAAAAGCUUUACAGAAUGAUCCUCCGAAACUGCAGAGAAGCUCAGGAGGUAACCUGUGAAUCUCUGACCAGAUGCUUUUAACACUUUUUUGACCAGCUGCUGUGGAUGGUAACUGAUGAAGCACCUGUGCAGAGUCCUUGCUAUUACUCACUCCAUGUGAAGGGAAUGAACACAUAAGGUUGCUUAACUGAUACUACACGACUUCAGCUGGGCACAAGAGCCCUGAUUCUCAGUACAACCACAAAAACUUUCACUACCUUAGCAGGGGAUGGCAACAUAUUUCUCUGAAGGCGCACUUUUAAAAAAAGCUUCCUGCUGCUUAAAUAUAUGAGUACAUUCUCCAUAA